rnacentral:lncRNA from 1 species
UACCCACUUUCUGCCACAUGAAAAUGCUGAGAAGCCAGUGGUCUGUAUCCCAGAGGAGGGCCCUCACCAGAGUUCUCCACACCUGAGUGGGAGAUAAGGCAGGGGAGGGCAUCAGAGAACCCAAGCACUUGAUUACAGGACUGAUGCUUUUGGCCCUGCCCACCUCUGACCUCCAGGGAGGCAAGGGCUGAAGAUUGAGUUCCGUCACAUGGCCAGCGAUUGCAUCCAUUAUGUCUGUGUAAUGAAACCCCAACAAAGCCCCUGGAACAGGGGGCUCAGGGAGCUGGCUUCAGACUCAUGAGGGGACGACUCUUUCUUCCCCAUUGGUUAUGUCUGUCACAUGUGAGCUCUGCAGUCUGAGACCAGCUCCCUUCAAUGUGGCAUUUUGUACAACUUUUUGUUUUACUUGGAAUAAACAGUUGCCAAGAUUUCCCUUGGUUUAGUGCUGUCUUCCCACUCAUCCCUAGACUCUGGGCCAGAAGGGGGCUCUCUUUGAAGCUCAAGAAUAUGCAUAGGAUUACAAAAGUAGCUAGCACCAAACAAGGUAAAAUUCAUAAUGUCUAGCAGUGAAUAAAAAAAGAAGCAAAAAAAUGCAACC